GAUGAACGCUGGCGGCGUGCUUAACACAUGCAAGUCGAACGGAAAGGCCCAAGCUUGCUUGGGUACUCGAGUGGCGAACGGGUGAGUAACACGUGGGUGAUCUGCCCUGCACUUCGGGAUAAGCCUGGGAAACUGGGUCUAAUACCGGAUAGGACCACUUCUUGGAUGUUGUGGUGGAAAGUUUUUUCGGUGUGGGAUGAGCUCGCGGCCUAUCAGCUUGUUGGUGGGGUAAUGGCCUACCAAGGCGUCGACGGGUAGCCGGCCUGAGAGGGUGUACGGCCACAGUGGGACUGAGAUACGGCCCAGACUCCUACGGGAGGCAGCAGUGGGGAAUAUUGCACAAGGGGCGCAAGCCUGAUGCAGCGACGCCGCGUGGGGGAUGACGGCCUUCGGGUUGUAAACUCCUUUCGCUAGGGACGAAGCGUUUUGUGACGGUACCUGGAGAAGAAGCACCGGCUAACUACGUG
rnacentral:rRNA from 1 species